rnacentral:rRNA from 1 species
AAAUUGACGGGGACCCGCACAAGCGGUGGAUGAUGUGGAUUAAUUCGAUGCAACGCGAAGAACCUUACCUACCCUUGACAUGUCCGGAACUUGCCAGAGAUGGCUUGGUGCCCGAAAGGGAAUCGGAACACAGGUGCUGCAUGGCUGUCGUCAGCUCGUGUCGUGAGAUGUUGGGUUAAGUCCCGCAACGAGCGCAACCCUUAUCAUUAGUUGCUACGCAAGGGCACUCUAAUGAGACUGCCGGUGACAAACCGGAGGAAGGUGGGGAUGACGUUAAGUCCUCAUGGCCCUUAUGGGUAGGGCUUCACACGUCAUACAAUGGUCGGUACAGAGGGUUGCCAAGCCGCGAGGCGGAGCCAAUCCCACAAAGCCGAUCGUAGUCCGGAUUGUUCUCUGCAACUCGAGAGCAUGAAGUCGGAAUCGCUAGUAAUCGCAGGUCAGCAUACUGCGGUGAAUACGUUCCCGGGUCUU